CCUACGGGAGGCAGCAGUGGGGAAUUUUGCACAAUGGGCGAAAGCCUGAUGCAGCAACGCCGCGUGUGUGAUGAAGGUCUUCGGAUCGUAAAGCACUUUCGACCGGGACGCGGUACCGGGAGAAGAAGCACCGGCUAACUCUGUGCCAGCAGCCGCGGUAAUACAGAGGGUGCAAGCGUUGUUCGGAAUUAUUGGGCGUAAAGCGCGUGUAGGCGGCUUGUUAAGUCGGGUGUGAAAGCCCUCAGCUCAACUGAGGAAGGGCGCCCGAAACUGGCGAGCUUGAGUGUCGGAGAGGAUGGCGGAAUACCCCAAGUAGAGGUGAAAUUCGUAGAUAUGGGGUGGAACACCGGGGCGAAGGCGGCCAUCUGGACACACUGACGCUGAGACGCGAAAGCGUGGGGAGCAAACAGGAUUAGAUACCCUUGUAGUC
rnacentral:rRNA from 1 species